ACUUUGCAUUGCUUUCUGCCAGCAGGAAGCGGGGGCAUGAGAUAGCUAGGAGUCAAUCAGAGACAGCCAGCUCAAGUCCUUCUUCAGUCCUGGCCACCCCACUUUCAUUAGCAGCCUCAGAAAGGAAAGGGGAGGAGGGGCAGAUGGCAAAGGAUUAUUGGUGGGGCUUUAGGAAGAGGAAUUGAGAAGAGUGAAUUUGAUCCAAAUCUAAAAUGUAUAAAGAUUGUACACCUGCUCUUAUUCUUUAGUCAUUAAUCAUAGCGGUUUGUUGCUGUUUUUUAAUGGGGAUGGAGGGGGACAGAGGGAGUGCAGGGGUUGGGAAAGGAUGGUGGCAGUGAAGGAGAAUGAGAAAACGUGUCUUGUUGCCCUGAGCUUGCACCUGGCUCUUCCUCAGUGUGCUGUGCUGGUUGAUAGAAUGUUUUCAUUUUCUUUUCCCCUCAGAGACACAUGUUUAUUCUCUUAAAAUGGGGAAGAUCCCAUUUUUCCUUUCAGACUGUUUAAUCUGAAAGGAGAAGAUCUCGGCCAGGAGAUACCUUGUUUCCAGUUUGAAUCAGAUCAAGUUUACCCUGAGAAGUCUGAGAUAUGUUUUACAAAGGCAGAUAGAAUGAAGGCCAAAGUUCUGACUCAUUAAUUUGAUAUUUUAGAUGUUGUAAGUACAAAUACUCCCUCCUAAGCUCAGGUACUAAUCUUGUUUUGUAUAUGAUAUCCAUGGUCAUUAGGACUUGUAGUCUACUCUUUGUACUGUGACUUCAGAAAAUGUUUAUUUAGAUAGAAAGUACAAACUACCCUUUCCUUCAAAACUUUUUUGUGAGCCUUAGAGAAUCAUGUACUGAGGUAUUGCCAAAUGGUGUUUUGAUUCAGCUCCUCUGAUUAGGUCAUUAAAAUAAGAAGAUUUCACUUCCUCUCCUUCAAGGAUAACCAAGAGCCCCAGGUUGGAAGGAGAGCAACAUCCUUGUCAGCUGGCCUGUAGCGCAGUGAAGACCACAGCUAUCACCACUACAUCAAAACCAAAGUCUGAGAGCACCUGCCUGCCCCAGAAGAUUCAGAAUCGUGCCCCAAAUCUGCCUCUCUCAAGAAAAAGAUAAAAUGCUCAAAGAUCACCUAGAAUACUUUACCCAUCGUAUAUAGUAGAGCAGGAUGAAAAAUCUGGGUUGAUUUAUGGAGUGGUAAAUAGUCCCUUGUUGACAGGAUAAAUUUGUUUAGAAUUUUGAUUUACCAGGAAUGUGCCAUGAAGCAAAGCUAAGAGGCAACUGGGAAGUUCUUCAAGCAGGUAUUAGAUUUGGAAGUGAGAAUUUAACUUGGAUGCUUGUCGUUGUGGCUAGAGUUGGGCAAGACCCAGAGAGGGGAGCCAAGUGAUCAACUCCUAAUACCUCUUUUAGCCACUUUUUAUGUUAGGAGAUUUUACAGUCCUUUUCUAAGACUUUCAGCAGCCUAAAUCACUAGGAAGGUGGUUAGCCUGGCAGCCAUCAUAACUGAGAUUGUAUGUGUAUAUACCCUGGAUUUACCUGUAAUCUGUGAGCUCUUCGAAGGCAGAAAUACUGUGUUUUUCUUUUGUUUAGUAGGUGCACAAAGUGUAAUAACUGUGGCUGAACUGAACUCAAUGGACUGCUU
rnacentral:lncRNA from 1 species